AAGAAGAAGAAGAAGAAGAAGAAGAAUGUUUUGUCACUUCCAUAAAAAACUGUAUUUGUUUAAUUUAACAGGUCCAAGGUUUAAAGAAAUACGAAAAUGCAUUGGCAUUAAAAACAACUGUUACAUAAAAGAGUACUUUAGUCGUUUUACGUCGGUAGUAGAAGAUAUUACUAGUGAUGACAAGGGAUGUGAGUGGAAAAAAAAAAUAAAAGAGCUAAAGAAAAAGGAAAUGAUCAAAGAUGACAUAACUGUUAAAGAAAUAAAUUAUAUAAUUAAAAAAGAAAAAAAAAGAAAGUUAAAAGAGAAAAAGAAGUUAAUUCAUGAAGAACAACAACAACAACUACAACUACAAAAUGAAGAAGAGUAUAGUUUAGCAGAAGAUGAAAAUAAUAAUAACAAUAUAAAAAAUAAAAUGCAAGGUAUUAAUUUAUUUCAAAUUAAUACGACUAUUAAAAAUAUUAAUAAGAAUAAAAAUAAUAUAUGUGAGUUAGGUGAAUAUAUAAAUUGUUAUAACAAAUGGUCCAUCCAAAAAAUAAAAUAUACAAAUAGUAGAACUGACGAAACUAAGGUUGUUCUCAUCGAAAAUGACACAAUCAAAUAUGACACUACCACAGUAAACGAUGAUAUGCAUAAUAUAGAUAACUACUAUGAUAUAAUUGACAAUAUGGAAAGCAUAAAAAAAAAUGAUAGUUAUAACAAAUUGUUUCUUGCUGAUGACCCCCGUCUAACUUGGAGUAUACAAGAUGAUAUUUAUUUUUCUGAGGAAGAUUUAAAUUAUUUUAAUAAAAUGAAUGAAGCUAAUUAUAAUCAUAUAUUUGAUACUAUUAAUUCUGAACAAAAUAUAUAUUUUAACUAUUUAAAUAAAAGAAAACCUAUUAGAUGUUUGAGUAAGAGUCAAGUUAUAGAAGUUUUAGAACGCGAAUCCUAUGACUUGUUUAUGUUAGAAAGAGCACAUGACAACAAAAAUGAACUUGAACCGCGAGUGGAUAACACUAUUACGAGUUAUACUAAAGACGUCACAAGUGGUGGUAGCACUAUUAACAGCAUGAGCAGAAACGGCAAUAUUCUUAACGAACAAAAAUUACUCCAAACUGUAGUUGAUGUUAGAUAUGUCAAAAAUUUAAAAAACGAAAAUUAUGAUAUGGAUAAACAAAACACACAUCUUGAUUUAUUAAGUGACAACAUGUCAUUUAUUAAACGAGAAAAAACUCCUAAGUUUUAUUACAACUUGUUAAAUCGAAUCGAAUUUAUAAGCUUAUCAUUUAACGUCAAAGAAGUUAUUUUUAUUUUAAGUUUCUUUUACAUAAAACAUAUGUUAGUUUCAAACAUAAUGAAAAAAUUUAUAAACAAUUUGUUAAUUCAAUUACAUAUGUUAACACAUGAACAAAUAAUAAUAUUAUUAAAAAUUUAUGGUACUUUUAAAAAUGAGUAUGAUAAUUUUAUCCAUGUUUUAUUAGUUUACUUUUUUAACUUAAAAAUGAAUACUGUGGGUGAUGAUAGUAUAAAACAAAAUGUAACAGACAUUGUAUGUAAAGACAAAAUGGAGCAGGAGCAGGAGCCGGAGCAGAAAUAUAAUGACGGUAGUGAGCACUACUCCAGUAGUAAUAACAAAUGUAAACAUGUCCAAAACACAAAAGCAAUAUUCACACGGAAUAUAAAAAAUGACAUUUUAUUUUUAAACGUUUGUUUACAAAAUAAAAUAUUCAUAAAUAAUGCAUUAAUCCUUUUUUAUUCUAAACAAAAUAUAAUUUAUUAUAAAAAAGAACAAUUUUUGCUAUUGUUUAAGUGUUUUUCUUUUUUAUGUGAUCAUACAAAUAGUAACUUAUUUUAUAAAGUGUUAAAAUACCCUCCCUUUGACUUUCAAAAGUAUCAAAUAAUAAAAAAUACAUCACAUAUAAGAAAAAAUUUAUUAUCAAAAUUUAAUUGUUAUAGUUAUAAUGACAAACCUCAUCAUAUGAAUAAAUUAAUAUUUAAUGAAUUACAAAAUGUUAUAUUGUCACUAAGUAAUAUAAACAGUACAAUAUUUUUAGAUGGUCUUAAAUCUUUUUUAACUUAUGAUUAUUAUAGUGGUGGAAAAGUGCUAAAGAGAAAAGACGUUUUCGAAAAAACAGUACUACAUCAUCAUACGAGUGGGGGAGGCGAAUUAAAACAUGAUAAAACAAAUUACAACUUAAACACGAGGCAUGAUAAUAAAUGUAAUAAGCAUUUAAUACAAACCAAUAUAUAUGUCAUUAAUUUUUUAUUUUUUAAAAAUAUAUUGACAAAAUUAACACAUUACAUAUGUUUUGAGUUUUUUAAAAAAAUUGAUUUAUUAAAGUUAGUUAAAAAUGUAAUUAUACCAAAAAGUAAAUUAGAAAUUUAUGAGAAUGACAUUUUGUUUGAUUGCUUAGUGAAACAUGAUGUUUUGCUUGAUGAGGAAAAAAAGGAACGCAGUUACAGUGAUGAUGCGGAGGCAGUUCCAGUGGCAGUAGGAGACAACCAACCAGCACGUGCAACAAUCAAUUAUGACAACCUGAGUGAUAAAAGCAGUAGAAAAAGCAUGACGAAUCUAAUAAAAUUCAAUGACAAUGAUUUUAAACAUUUGUUUACUUGCGAAAAGGAACAGUUAAACCAAUUUUUAUACUUUUAUGAGAAAAUCAUGGUAAAAAAAAUAUCACUAAAUUUUAUAGUCAGCAUAAUAUAUUUUAUAAAUGAAUAUGUUACAAGUUUUAAAAAAAUAAUAAAUAUGAGUAUAAAAGAAAAUACGAACAUUUUAUUUGUUCUUUAUUUCAGUUAUUUAAAGUUCUUGAGUGUGCUGAAUUCUGUGACAUCACACUCGGGGGAAAAAACGUCGCCUAAAAAUGACGCGCUCGAUUAUAGCAUGCACCAACACAAACUAUUACUUUCACACUUUUCCCGAGUUAUACCAUCGUUUAGUAAUUAUAAAAAAAAACAAUUUUUAGCUUAUUAUAAUAUUAUUCAAAAUGAAAAGGAAAAAAAUAAAGAUAACAUUUUUAAUAGUAAUAACAAUUUUUAUAAAAAUAAAAAUAUAACUGAUGACAAUAUGUAUAAUAAUUUAUUAAGUUGUCAAAUUAUGAACACAAUAUUUUUAAUAUUUAAUAAAAAUAUUGAUAUUAUAAAAAGUUAUAACAACUUUUUUUAUUUUACUUUAACUCAUAUAAAUACCAUUGUUUUUAAUAUGGUAUUAUAUAUUUAUAAUUCUACAGAAAUAAAUGUU
rnacentral:lncRNA from 1 species